rnacentral:rRNA from 1 species
GAUGAACGCUAGCGGCAGGCCUAACACAUGCAAGUCGAGGGGUAACUAGAGUGAUAGCAAUAUUACUUUGGCUAGACCGGCGCACGGGUGCGUAACACGUAUGCAACCUACCUUAUACUGGGGAAUAACUUCGAGAAAUCGGCGCUAAUACCCCAUAACAUUGCGAAGAGGCAUCUCUUUGCAAUUAAAGCUCCGGCGGUAUAAGAUGGGCAUGCGUCCAAUUAGCUAGUUGGUGAGGUAACGGCUCACCAAGGCUACGAUUGGUAGGGGUUCUGGGAGGAUGAUCCCCCACACUGGUACUGAGACACGGACCAGACUCCUACGGGAGGCAGCAGUGAGGAAUAUUGCGCAAUGGACGAAAGUCUGACGCAGCCAUGCCGCGUGCAGGAUGACGGCCCUAUGGGUUGUAAGCUGCUUUUGUACGGGAAUAAACCCUUCUACGUGUAGGAGGCUGAAGGUACCGUAAGAGUAAGCACCGGCUAACUACGUGCCAGCCGCCGCGGUAA